CACAACGGAAGUAAACCGAUUCAUGAGCACUACUGGACCUGUGAAGUAAAGAGGUUGAAUGAGAGAGGGUUUUGCGAAUUGCACGCAGAAAACCGUAUGAACUUGCUGCUGGCAUGUUUUCGAUACGAAUUGUAGUGUGUCGAACGCUGUGCAGAGUGUCUGGUUUUAAACCCAGUGUGAGAAUGACCUUGCAGAAUGGGCUGGUGUUACCUGCUGCCAGAAACUGUUCCCAGGUCGCCAUAGCAGGUAACUCAGCAGACUGCAACAACAGGAAUGCCCUGAGAUGGAAUCUGGCCCCAGAUCAGAUGAAGAACGUGACAGAGAGCCUGGUCCAGAGGAUCAAACAGCACAGCGCCAUAUUGGACUUCCCCAAGUAUGUGUCUGCUUGUAAGGAGGUGCGGUCAGUGAGCACAGAGGCCAACAAGAAGCUGUCUGACUUUGAAGUGGAGACGAGUAUGAGGGAAGACGUGUUUCAGAGAGUUAUUGCCUUAAAGGAGAACCAGCUGGACAAUCUAACGCCUGAGGCCAAGCGAUUCUUAGACUGUCCUAUCACAGGGAAGAGGAAAGGAUUCCACUUGUCAAAGGAUAUACAGGAGGUGGGCUACCGGAUAGCUAUCUGAAUGGGCUGGAGAAGACGGCAGACGGGUGUUACAAGGUGACCCUGGCAUACCCUCACUACUACCCUCUGAUGAGACCAGGAGAAAGAUGGAGACUGCUUUCCACAGCAGGUGUUAGGAGGUAAACACAGUCAUUCUGGAGCAGCUGAUCAAGCUGAGGGGGCACAGCUACUGGCUUAGAGUACCCACGCCAACAAUGUACUUGAGAUGAACAUGGCCAAGAAUACCAACAUGUGGCAUGCUUUCUAGACGACGUUCUCAGAGUUCAGUGGAACCCUUGUGGAGACAGACUUUGUAGAGGUGCCAUCUCAGAUACUGGAGAAUUGGGUAUGGGAGAAGGAGCCCCAUCCCCGACAAUCUGCUCAACAAACUCAUCGCCUCCCGAGUCGCCAACACAGGCACUAAUAUGACAGCCAGGUUCAGUCACUUGGCUGGGGGCUACGAUGUGCAGUAAGGACUAUGGCUACCUGUGGAGCGAGGUCUACUCCAUGGGCAUAUUCGUCAGUUUUAAAAUGGAGAGGAAUAAUGAACCCUAAGGUGUGGCACAGUCAAUCCACUCCACUCAACAUUCAUCUUGAGUUACCAUAUUCCAUUUUUUUUAUGCAUCUAUACUUUUAAGAAGAAAUAGAAUUUAAGCCUGCAAGUUCUCUUUGAUUGGCAAGCAUCUUUGAAUGUGACCUUGUGUGUCAGUAAUAUUACACCAUUUAUCAUGGCUUUUGACUGGCAUGUUCUGUAUGCCCAUCUUAUCAUCAGGUGGUGAAGGAGUACAGGAGGCUGAUUCUGGAGGCUGAUGGCUCUGUGGAUGGAAGGGACAUGCUGAAGACCUUCCUGGGUCGUGAACCUUGCCAGGAUGCCUUCUUUCAAUGCAAGGGAUUGGCCAAAGCUGAGGGAACACUGAACGGUCAUCACUGAC